rnacentral:lncRNA from 1 species
GGGAGCGCCAACCCAAAUUCUGAGCAGUCUCAACAUGAUAAGAUUAAUAUCCCCAGUUGUAACUAAUAUCGAAAUGAAUAAGAAUCGCUAUAUUCUGCGGCUGUCAUGGCGGUGUCGAAAUGAAAUUGCGACUGUCGAAAUGAAUUAGAAUCAGGGCCCAGCAAACGACGGCAAUGUUGCCAGAUUCCUUUUAGCGGGAAUUUUAAAAUUUUAUAGCAGUUUGGUUUUAAAUUUGACAGUUCUGUUUUCUCAAGUCAAAAAUCUUAACCUUACUUUUACAAGUGAUUAGGAUUAUUAUUAUUAUUUUAUUUACAUGUAAAUUGAAACAAUAAAUAUUGUGCUGUGUCAUAAUUUCAAACUCAUUAUGUUGCAGUCUUUUCCAGUUGAUAAAAUUGCAAUUCAAAAACUUUUAGAUUUGCACUGUAUGGAUGGCACAGGAAGAGAACAAGAACAUGAAACAUCUUAUUAUGAAUGUAUAUGUAUGUGAUCCUCAAAAAAUUAUUUUACAAAACAAGAUAGAGAAAGAGCUUUAAAAUCCCAAGGAUCCUGCAAAAUGUUUAUUUGGUGUACUAGUCGAAUAAUAGUAUCUAAAAAUAUUGAAACUAUUUUAAAACACAUUACGGGCAUGAGGAUGAUAUAGAGCACUUACAUAAAUACCAAAAUCAGAUAAAUAUCUCUUCAAAGUUUAUUUUGAGACUUUCUUCAAAAAUUAAACUUCAGACUGUUCAGGAUAGCAUAAUAGCAUAGGAGGCGAAUUAAAAAGAAUUGAUUUACUUACAAGAAAAGAUAUCACAAACAUUAAACUCUCUUAUGGCAUUGAUUUGAAAGAUGGGCAUAUGUACAAUGAUGAUGCAACCAGUGUUUAUUUUUGGGUUGAAUGCUUACAGACUCAUGUCCAAUAUUAUUUUACAAACAACAGGGCAUACUAAUGGAUAUUCAUUCUGAAUUUAACAUUUAUGAUUUUUGUCUUAUUUCCUUAAUAUUGUGCCAAAAGGAAAUGUUAAUUAAGUUUGGUAAAUCCUUUAUAGCAAUCGAUGGAACUCAUGGGCUCAAUUCGUAUGACUUUGAACUUAUUGGCAGUAUUAGUAAAAGAUGAAUUUGGGAAUGGAUUUUGUACUGCUUUCUUAUUUUCAAAUAGAAAAGAUACCUACCUACUUUAAUUUACCAAUUUUUUUAAAUACAUGUCUGUGUUGGUAUUAUAUGUAUAGUCAAAUGUUUUCAUAUCAGGCAUAAGCGAUACCUUUUACAAUGCCUCGUCAAAUGUAAUGGGUAUUGCUCCUAAUAGACUGUUAAGUGUCUGGCACAUAGAUAGGGCAUGGUAAGUAAAUCUUAAUAAAAUAUCUGAUUCUGAAAAAAAUACUAUUAUGUAUACAAGAUGUAUUAAUGAUGGUUUAGAGAGUAUUAAUAGCUUUUUGGGUAGACUUCUAAGUGAUGUAGAUACAUACAAUUUUAGUAAGUAUUUCCAGUAGAACUACUGCAAUAACAUCCAACAAUGGGCCUAUUGUUAUAGGAAGGGGUUGUGGAAUUAAUACCAAUAUGACCAUUCAAAAUUUUCAUAAAAUUUUGGAUAAAAGGGUAUCCAUUAGUUGUUAUCAGUUAAGUUUAAAACUUGGCACUCAUGGAGAGCUAUACCAUAAUAUAUAAUAGGUAUAUCUCAUAAUAUUACAUCUCAUAUUGUUCACUACAGUAGUAAUGAGUGAGCCUGCAUACACAGAACCAUAAUAAUAUAUUAUAGUUCGUGUAUGCAGGCUCAGUUUGGUGCCCAUCUCGAACAAGCUCCACUUGGCUGGUACCACAUACUUAAAUCAUUUAUUUAGUUACACAGUACUACUCACAUACCUUAUGUGUCGUCAGUACCUUCCGUAAAACCUUCGUGAUGCUACCCAUACGUCAUGGCCACUGAAUGUGUUAAAGCUUGUUAAUGUAGGAGAGUUAUACUAAAAUAUAUAUCUUAUAUUAUAUUGCCUUAAAUAGAAAAAAUAUCUUAUUUAAAUUGUAUCCAUGUAAGUUUUGAUUUAAUGAAAUAAACCUUUUAAUCAAAAAAGUGUUGUUUACUUGUGUACACCCAGCAAUAUCCUGAUCAUAGAUAAAUAAUAUAGUAUUACCGGAUCCUGAUAUGCAGACGCCAAUAGGGCUUUUCAUCGAUUGUCAUUUGUUUCGAGCUUCUGUCAUGAGUCACAUA